AUUGAACGCUGGCGGCAGGCUUAACACAUGCAAGUCGAGCGAGCGGCGGACGGGUGAGUAAUGUGUGGUCAACCCCCUGAUGGAGGGGGAUCACUACUGGAAACGGUCUCUUAUCACGCCAACCAUCAGAUUUGCCCAGAUGGGAUUCGCGAGUGGGUGGGGUAAUGGCUCACCUAGGCGACGAUCCCUAGCUGCUCUGAGAGGAUGACCAGCCACACGGGACCGGAGACCCGGUCCAGACUCCUACGGGGGGAAGCAGGGGGGAAGAUUGGACAAGGGGGUAAAGCCGGAUGCAGCCAUGCCGCGUGUGUGAAGAAGGCCUCCGGGUUGUAAAGCAUUUUCAGCGAGGAGGCGUUACCCGAAGAAGAAGCACCGGCUAACUCCGUGCCAGCAGCCGCGGUAAUUC
rnacentral:rRNA from 1 species